AGUGAACGCUGGCGGCAGGCCUAAUACAUGCAAGUCGAACGGCAGCACAGUAAGAGUUCGCCCUUACUGUUGGCGAGUGGCGGACGGGUAAGGAAUACAUCGCCUUCUACUUUUUCUUGGGGGAUUACGUAGGGCCAUAUAUGCUACCACCGCAUAUUUCCUACGGCUGAGUGCAAGAGUUCUUCGCACUUUUCCCGUUACUUUGAGCCGAUGUCGGAUUAGCUAGUUGGCUUGGUAAAGGCCCACCAAGGCGACGAUCCGUAGCUGGCCUGAGAGGAUGAUCAGCCACACUGGAACUGAGACACGGUCCAGACUCCUACGGGAGGCAGCAGUGGGGAAUAUUGGGCAAUGGGCGCAAGCCUGAUCCAGCAAUACCGCGUGGGUGAAGAAGGCCUUCGGAUUGUAAAACCCUGUUAUUGGGGAAGAAAAGCAGUAGGAUAAUACCCGGAUGUUCUGACGGUACCCAAAGAAUAAGCAACGGCUAACUUCGUG
rnacentral:rRNA from 1 species